UACGUAGGGGGCUAGCGUUGUCCGGAAUCAUUGGGCGUAAAGCGCGUGUAGGCGGCCCGGUAAGUCCGCUGUGAAAGUCGGGGGCUCAACCCUCGGAUGCCGGUGGAUACUGUCGGGCUUGAGUACGGAAGAGGCGAGUGGAAUUCCUGGUGUAGCGGUGAAAUGCGCAGAUAUCAGGAGGAACACCUAUUGCGAAGGCAGCUCGCUGGGACGGUACUGACGCUGAG
rnacentral:rRNA from 1 species